GAAGCAGUUAUAUGUUGGAGGUCCUGACAAGUCCAUGGGUAAAAUGAUGUUUGCAAUGAUUAUGAGCUUGUAAUUAUCAAAUGGACAAAGUGAGAAGAGUGUUCCAGAAAAAGGCGGCAGUCCAAGAAAACUAAAGAGAAUUGAAAUGGAGAAUAACCUUGACCCUGGAUUACUGUGGAAUUGGACUGAAGUCUCUGCAAACUGUCAACAUCUCCAUCAUAUGACUAGAAUGAUGUCAGUAGAGCCAGUGGUCUGAGGCCAGCCGUGAACAGUGAAGGGAUGUCCUUUAACCGCACUGCAAGUUAGGGGGAUUGUUUGGCUUUGACUUUCAAAAAUCGCCAGAGAAGAAUGUUCUUUGUCUCAGGCUGUUUGAAAGGAGCUGGAAGCUGUAGGAUACCCCCAGUACCAUUUGCGUUAGUCAAGAUACUCCAAGUAGCAAACACCAAGAGAAGAAUAAACCUGCAAGAAUUACACCGGGGGAGAACACCUAUGAGACAACGUGGGCAAAGGCCAUGGAGGGACUAAGUGAGCAGGCGGAUCAUGUACAAGUCAGAUUGUAAGUAAAGGACAGAGAGAAGGAAGUUUGGGUAGAGGAUCCUAGAGUGCCCUGCAGUCUAAGAAGUUUCAGCAAAACUGUCGGUGAGUACAGUAGCCCCUCUUAUCCAGGAAGGAUAUGUUCCAAGACCCUCAGUGGAUGCCUAAAACCAUGGCUAGUAAGGAGCCCUACAAAUACUACAUUUCUUCCUUUCUGUAUAUACCUAUGAUAAAGUUUAAUUUAUAAAUUAGGCACAGUAAGAGAUUAACAACAACUAAUAAUAAAAUGGAAUAAAUAUAACAAUAUACUGUAACAAAAGUUAUGUGAAUGUGGUCUCUCAAAAUAUGUUAUUGUACACAUUUAUCGCCUUUUCCAUCUUAAGCACUUAUACAUUGUGGCCAUAACUUUUGCAAUUUGUGGUGCAACAGCAAACUAACACAGAUUUCUUAUUCUUUCUUUACAGCUUUACAGAUUGAAGAUUUGCUCUUAUCAUAGAUCUUAGCAACUUCCACGUGCAUUUUUUUUCUUUCUUUAACUAGAAAACUUUCACCUUUUCACUUGAAGGAAAGGCUUUACAGCUUCUGUUUGGCAUCUCCAAAUUACCAGCAUCACUGCUCUUGUGUUUUGGGGGCCAUCAUUAGGUAAAAUAAAGGUGACUGAACACAAACACUGCAAUACUGUGACAAUGACCCACUAAUCAAGAGGGCCAUUAAGUGACUAACACUCAGGAUAUACUUGACAAAGUGAUAAUUCCCAUCCUGGGUGGCAGAGAACUAGACUGUGCUAGAUUUCAUCAUGCUAUUCAAUUAAAAGGGCAUACAAUUUAAAAGUUAUGACUUGUUUAUUUCCAGAGUUUUCCAUGUAACAUUUUCAGGCUGAUGUUGAGCACAGGUACCAAAACCGUGAAGAGUGCAACCACAGAUGAGGGGGGACUACUGUUCAUGAGCCAAGUCAGCUGUCAGAAGAGUUCCAAAUCUACCAGGAAGGAGCCUGUCUCAGAAGCCCUGCAGAGCUCAGUCAUUGGCUGGGAUGCUGGAAGAUGUUAGGUGGCGUAGAGCGAGUGACCACCUGCAGACCAACAGAGGAGGCCUCAGAAUAAAACCUACCUUGCUGGCACCAUGAUCUUGGACUUUCCAGCCUCCA